AACCAUAUUAAAAUAAAACAAAAAAAUAAUAAUAAAAAAUAAAAAGAAAAGAAAUUAAAGAAAAUAAAAAUACGAAACGAAAAACUAAACAAAAUAGAAGAAAAUAUAAUCAAUAAAAAUAAAGUAAAACUAAAAUAAAAAAAAAAAUACAACGAAAAUCAUAUAAAAAAAAAACAAGAAACAUAUUUUUUAUUACCUGGACAAAAUUGGGUGUUGACACAAGAAAUUCCUCUCAGUUCAUGACAUUAUUGUACGUUCCCGAAUGAGUUAAACGAUAAAAACAUUAAGCAAAGGUGAAGAAC
rnacentral:lncRNA from 1 species